rnacentral:rRNA from 1 species
UACGUAGGGUGCAAGCGUUGUCCGGAAUUAUUGGGCGUAAAGAGCUCGUAGGCGGUUUGUCGCGUCUGCUGUGAAAACUCGGGGCUUAACUCCGGGCCUGCAGUGGGUACGGGCAGACUAGAGUGCGGUAGAGGAGACUGGAAUUCCUGGUGUAGCGGUGAAAUGCGCAGAUAUCAGGAGGAACACCGGUGGCGAAGGCGGGUCUCUGGGCCGUAACUGACGCUGAGGAGCGAAAGCGUGGGGAGCGAACAGG